GGCAUGGUGGCCGAGUGGUUUAUGGCGUAAGGCGCCUAUCCGCAAGGGCGCAGGUUUGAAUCCUCCCCAUGUCA